GACGAACGCUGGCGGCGUGCCUAAUACAUGCGAGUUGAGCGCUGAAGGUUGGUACUUGUACCGACUGGAUGAGCAGCGAACGGGUGAGUAACGCGUGGGGAAUCUGCCUUUGAGCGGGGGACAACAUUUGGAAACGAAUGCUAAUACCGCAUAAAAACUUUAAACACAAGUUUUAAGUUUGAAAGAUGCAAUUGCCUCACUCAAAGAUGAUCCCGCGUUGUAUUAGCUAGUUGGUGAGGUAAAGGCUCACCAAGGCGAUGAUACAUAGCCGACCUGAGAGGGUGAUCGGCCACAUUGGGACUGAGAAACGGCCCAAACUCCUACGGGAGGCAGCAGGAGGGAAUCUUCGGCAAUGGACGAAAGUCUGAACGAGCAACGCCGCGGGAGUGAAGAAGGGUUUCGGAUCGUAAAACUCUGUUGGUAGAGAAGAACGUUGGUGAGAGUGGAAAGCUCAUCAAGUGACGGUAACUACACAGAAAGGGACGGCUAACUACGUG
rnacentral:rRNA from 1 species